AUACGUAGGGGACAAGCGUUAUCCGGAUUUACUGGGCGUAAAGGGCGUGUAGGCGGUCUUGCAAGUCAGAAGUGAAAUUCCUGAGCUCAACUCGGGCGCUGCUUCUGAAACUGCAGGACUUGAGGGCUGGAGGGGAUAGUGGAAUUCCUAGUGGAGCGGUAAAAUGCGCAUAUAUUUGGAAGAACACCGGUGGCGAUGGCGGCUAUCUGGACAGUAACUGACUCUCGCGCACGAAAGCGUGGGGAUCGAACAGGUUUAGAUACCCUGGUAGUCCACGCCGUAAACGAUGGGCGCUCGUCGUCGGCGGCAGACAGUCGGCGGCCAAGCGAAAGCGAUAAGCGCCCCACCUGGGGAGUACGGUCGCAAGGCUGAAACUCAAAUGAAUUGGCGGGG
rnacentral:rRNA from 1 species